rnacentral:rRNA from 1 species
AUUUUCCGGUUGAUCCUGCAGGACCCGACUGCUAUCAGAGUGGGACUAAGCCAUCAUACCCAGAGGACGUGGAUAACCUCGGGAAACUGAGGAUAAACCGCGAUCAUACCCAGAGGACGUGGAUAACCUCGGGAAACUGAGGAUAAACCGCGAUAGACCAUAAUGUCUGGAAUGAUUUAUGGUUCAAAUCUAUAUGGCCUCUGGAUUGGACUGCGGCCGAUCAGGCUGUUGGUGAGGUAAUGGCCCACCAAACCUGAAACCGGUACGGGCUCUGAGAGGAGAAGCCCGGAGAUGGGCACUGAGAACGAAAGUGUGACAGGGCUAUCCCGAGUGCCGUCCGCUGAGGAUGGCUUUUACCCAGUCUAGAAAGCUGGGGGAAUAAGGAGAGGGCAAGUCUGGUGUCAGCCGCCGCGGUAAUACCAGCUCUCCGAGUGGUGUGGAUGUUUAUUGGGCCAAUCGUUGGAUUGCGGGGGAUACUGCUCGGCUAGGGGACGAGAGAGGCAGACGUAAAGCAUCCGUAGCUGGCCAAGUUAGUCCCUUGUUAAACCCACCGAAUUGUAUUUUCGGGGUAGGGGUGAAAUCCUAUAAUCCCGGGAAGACCACCAGUGGCGAAGGCUGUCUGCUAGAACGCGCCCGACGGUGAGGGAUGAAAGCUGGGGGAGCGAACCGGAUUAGAUACCCGGGUAGUCCCAGCUGUAAACGAUGCAGGCUAGGUGUUUGGACGGCCACGUGCCGUUCUAGUGCCGCAGGGAAGCUGUUAAGCCUGCCGCCUGGGGAGUACGGUCGCAAGAUUGAAACUUAAAGGAAUUGGCGGGGAAU